rnacentral:rRNA from 1 species
CCUACGGGAGGCAGCAGUAAGGAAUAUUGGACAAUGGGCGAAAGCCUGAUCCAGCCAUGCCGCGUGAAGGAUUAAGGUCCUCUGGAUUGUAAACUUCUUUUAUGUGGGAACGAAAAAAGGGCAUUCUUGCUCACUUGACGGUACCAUAUGAAUAAGCACCGGCUAACUCCGUGCCAGCAGCCGCGGUAAUACGGAGGGUGCAAGCGUUAUCCGGAUUCACUGGGUUUAAAGGGUGCGUAGGCGGAUAGGUAAGUCAGUGGUGAAAUCUCGAAGCUUAACUUCGAAACUGCCAUUGAUACUAUCUAUCUUGAAUAUUGUGGAGGUUUGCGGAAUAUGUCAUGUAGCGGUGAAAUGCUUAGAUAUGACAUAGAACACCGAUUGCGAAGGCAGCAGGCUACACAUAUAUUGACGCUGAGGCACGAAAGCGUGGGGAUCAAACAGGAUUAGAUACCCUGGUAGUCCACGCCCUAAACGAUGAUUACUCGACAUACGCGAUACACUGUGUGUGUCUGAGCGAAAGCAUUAAGUAAUCCACCUGGAAGUACGUCCGCAAGGAUGAAACUACAAAGGAAUUAGACGG